GGGGUGUACGCACCGAGGCAACGAGGUGUUAAGCCCACGAGAACUAACAGACCGAGC
rnacentral:rRNA from 1 species